AAGGCAGUUUGGGUCCAUGGAUUUAUGCUAUUGGUGCCAAAUUGUGAACCUACCAUCUGUGUGCCUCAGCAGAAAUCGAGAUCUGCCUCAAGGUUCGACGUGUUGUGCAUUCUGAGAUGCUUUUCUGCUCACCACAACAAGUGGUUAUAAGUUACUGUAACCUUUCUAUCAGCUCAGAACCAGUCUGGCCAUUCUCUGCUUCAGUCUGUUCACAGGGUGUAAAGUUUGCUUGGGUUCAUCUUUAACUCUUACAUUCAGUCGUGAUGGAGAAUACCGGGUUCAUCUGUCUCCUGCUGUGUGUGAGCGUACACACGGCCAACAGCGAAAAACGAUCUUGUCCAGAGAAAAGCAUCUGUAUGCUUAAAUGUGGAGAGACUAACGGUAACGUGACCUGGAGCAGAGAUGUGGGUGGAAAAAGGGACAAGAUUCUCAGCGUCUACAAGGACACGGUUAUCAAACACAUCACUGAUCCAGACAGACGUUACAGCUCAGGAAGACGUCUGAUUCUGAGUAUAUUUAAUGUCUCGUUCUCAGACGCUGGUCGAUAUUACUGUAAUGAGAACGCAGUGGAGGUCAGUGUGACAUGAAAGACUCAGAUAAUCAUAAAUACGGGGAUUGGUUGACGGUAACAGCUUUAGUAGCCGGGGGUUGUGCGCUUGUUUUAGUGUCACUUCUGGUUCUGUGGAGGUGUUUCUCCAAAAGGAAAGGUAGCACCGCCAAAGUACAGCACGAUUCAGCUGAAAAAGGAUCUUCAGAUCUGUACACAUCGGUAUACAUCAACGAGACUCCAUCAGCUCCUCGACCAGCAGCUCCACAGCAGAUCCCAAAAGAUGGAUUUUACUAUCUGGCUACACAUCCAGGAAUCCAGAACAGGCGUUAACACACAUGUCCGUUUAUACUUUCAGUCUCAUUCCCACACUUUUUAUUGACUUUUUUUUGUUUGGGUAGGUAGCUAGAUAGAUAGAAAGAAGGGGGGUUUCAUGAAAAAGAUUUCAUGGUUAAGGAUCUAAGAGAUUUUCUUUGCUCAGUUCAAAUGCUCAGUUAUAUAAAAAAAUUGGUAAUUGUAAGUCUGCCAAAUGCUGUAAAUGCUUGGUCUCUAUAGAAAAGAUAAGUAUAAACAAACUUGUAAACAAGGCACUUAGAUAUUUUUGAAGUGUGAAAAAAGUGGGGAGGUGGCAGUUAAAAUGUGCCAUGAAGUAGUUCUACUACUACUACUACUACUACUAAUAAUAAUAAUAAUAGUAACAGUAACAGCAGCAACACAGGUUCAGUUACUACCGCUAACAUUACAAAUAAUAAUGGAGUCCUAUAUCAGAGCUGGCCUUCCUAAUCAGUUUGUUGAGUUUCUUCUUGGCCUUGGCACCAAUACCAUUUCCCCAGCACACAACAGCGUACAGCAACGUAGAAAAGUGCACUGACUACAACCGGCAGACAAUGUGAGAGAGGCCUUUAGAUGCUCAGAAGUUACCCUGGGUUCCCUUGUAACCUCACAGACUCUUGCACAUCUUACUCUUGGAGAGAUCUUUGUUGGUCUCCACUCCUGGAGAGGGGAACAACGGUCUUAAAUUUCCUCUAGUUUGGACUCCAAAGAGUCCAAACUCUUUAGAGAUGGUUUAUAACCUUUUCCAGCCUGAUGAGCUUCAACAACUCUUUUUCUGAGGUCCUCAGAAAUCUCCUUUGUUCAUGACAUGAUACACUUUCACAAACAUGUGUUGGGAAGAUCAGACUCUGAUAGAUCCCUGUUCUUUAAAUGAAACAAGACGCUCACUCACUCACACCUGAUCAUCAUCCCACUGACUGAAAACACCUGACUCUAAUCUCAAAACUUUCAAGCACCACUGAAUGAAUGUAUUGAAUUUUAUUUUGUUUUUAAAUAGUUGUUUAUCUUUUAGCAAGCUUCAGUACUGAGCUAGAAUGCUAACCCGCUAACCUGCUUGGCCUGUUCUUAUCUCGUGGAUCAUUUGUUUUGUUAGACAUACUCAUGCUCACUGUUUAUUUUACGUUAGUGCUUGUGCAAUUUUCAGCUCUGACAGUAGUGCAGCUGCAACUCACAGGUUUAUAUUAAUGUGUUCGCUCUAAUACAGUCAUGUGAAAAAAUAAGUACACCCCAUGGAAAGUGUUGGCUUUUUUGACAUAUUUGGACAAGCAAACAUUUGAUCAUCUUUGAAUCAGUGCCUGUUAAUAAAGUAGAUAUACUUGGGAUUUAAAACAUGUUUUACAUUUUUUCAUCUGUAGUGUUGUUCACCUGCAUUAAAGCCUGACAGAAUCCGCAACCCGUUUAAGUCUUAUCAUUACCUCUACAUUCAGGUAGCACCGCCAAAGUACACCACGAUUCAGCUGAAAAAGCAGGAUCUUCGGAUCUGUACACAUCGGUAUACAUCAACGAGACUCCAUCAGCUCCUCGACCAGUUGGCCACCCCAGCAACUCACAAAGCCGGCAACUAGCUUGACCUCAUCCUCACAUGUAACUCACACAAAAUUAUUACUUGUUACUCCUCUCCACACCUCUUACCAUUUCUUUAUCCAGUUUUCUAUUUCUCUCCCCUCACCCCCUCACAGUCUUCAACCUCUAUCUCUAUCUCCUUUUGUGGCAAUCUUCGCUCCCUUUCCCCCCUCACAAUUCUCUUCCAUUGUCACAACCUCACUUCCCUCUGAUAGCCUCCUCUCCUCACUGUCCUUAAACACCACAAUUGACAUUCUAUGUUUCACUCUAACAUCUUCGUUUUCAGUGACACUGACUUAAUUUACCUUCAACACGUGCAUUUGUUAUGGUUUUUGGCCCUGUCUCUGCCCCUGUAUUGUCACUGUUUGUUUCCCGCAUGUGUCAUCAUUAGUCUCAGCUGUUUUGUGUUUCACCCCGAUUAUGUUUAGUACUUAAACCCCUCGUGUCCCUUUGUACUUAGCGAGUAUUAGGUGAGUUUCCGUAUACCAGGCGUUUGUUUCUUGCUUCAUGUGUUAUUGUUUGAUCUUGUUCUCACCCUCAUUCAUGAUUCCUGUUUUGUCAAUUGCUUGACCCAUUGCCUGUUAUUUGACCAUGCUAUUGUCUCAUGAUUUGGAUUUGUCUGCCUGCCUCUCUUUAUUAAAAGCUCUUAUCUGCACUUGCAUCUGUCCUAACCUCCAUUACUUUUAAUUACGUGACACAUAGAUAGAAAGAAAGAAAGAAAGAAAGAAAGAAAGAAAGAAAGAAAGAAAGAAAGAAACUUUAUUAAUCCUGAUGGAAAUUGCAAAAUUACAGUAGUGGUAAAAGACAAACAUUCACAGAUAACCAUAAAUACAAUAAAAAAGCACAGUAAUUUAUUGCAGGUCCAGGUACUUAUAUGUGUCCACUACCUCCAAUGUUCAGCUGCAGUUUGCACCACUCAGCAAAGUUCUCCACCAAGGCCAUAUACUCAUCCCCCUGCCCACCUCCGAUGCAUGUACUUCUGCACAUGACAUGACUCUGUGUUAUACCUAAAAUCUGAAUGGAGGAUUGAACAGGAAUGGAGCCAGUACAGUCCCCUGAGAAGCCCCAGUGCUGCACAUAGCCAUAUCUGACUUACCAGUUAGGUAGUUCACGGCAGGUUGAAUUGUGUUUGUUGACCAUCCCUUUCCAGAUUUAUUCCACCAUUGCUGUUAUAACAACCUCCUCCAAUCUUCUGGGAAGGCUUUCCACUAAAUUUUGUAUCGUAGCUGUGGGGAUUAAUGAUCAUUCAAGUAACAAGAGCAUUAAUAAGGUUGAGGUCAGGUGCUGAUGUCGAUGUGAGGAGGCUCCAGUUCCAGUUCACCCUAAAGGUGUUCAGUGGGGUUGAGGUCAGGGCUCUGUACAGGACACUCGAGUUCUUGCACCUUCUUCCAACCGUCACACACCACGUCUUCAUGGAGCUCGCUUCGUGCACUGUCUGUCAUGCUGGAACAGUGUUUGGGCCUCUUAGUUCCAGUGAAGGGAAACUGUAAUGCUACAGCGUACAGAGACGUUCUAUACAACUGUGGAACAGUUUGUGGAAGAAAAACAUAUAGGUGGUGAGGAGAUCACAUAAUGUAUUUCUGUUAUGUUUGUGAUUUAAUGUAUAAAAAUAAAAACAUAUUGAGAGCAUGUUUACAUUGUGUUCAUUUGUGUUUCUGUAAUACAUAAAGUGACCAAAUUCUUCCUGAUUCAAAUAUGAUGCCUUUUCUAUCACUUCUCUUUAUUAUCACACAUUCUCACACGCCUAUCAUUACACUUAUCUUAAAUGUGUUUAAGUUCACUUAAAAUCCCCCGAGACCUUUACCAUAAUCACAAAUAUUAGAGAAACACACAUUUCUGAGAUGAUUAGUUGUGCUCCUUUUGUUGUCUUUUUGAGGUCAUGCCCACAAGUAAACAAAGUCACACACACACACACACACACACACACACACACACACAAACACACACCCACAAUCAGGGAUACAUAACAUUACAUCACUUCCUCAGCCUCAUCUCACUUCCUCACACUGCUCAUCACACACUGCACCUCGGAGCUUCAGUCUGUUCACAGGGUGUAAAGUUCGCUGUGUUUCAUCUUUAACUCUUACAUUCAGUCGUGAUGGAGAAUACCGGGUUCAUCUGUCUCCUGCUGUGUGUGAGCGUACACACGGCCAACAGCGAAACAUUUUGUCCAGAGAAAAACAUCUGUAUGCUUAAAUGUGGAGAGACUAACGGUAACGUGACCUGGAGCAGAGAUGUGGGUGGAAAAAGGGAGAAGAUUCUCAGCGUCUACAAGGACACGGUUAUCAAACACAUCACUGAUCCAGACAGACGUUACAGCUCAGGAAGACGUCUGAUUCUGAGUAUAUUUAAUGUCUCGUUCUCAGACUCUGGUCGAUAUUACUGUAAUGAGAACGCAGUGGAGGUCAGUGUGACAUCAAAGACUCUGAAAAUCAUGAAAACGGGGGGUAAGUGGUCUGACCAUUGCUUUCAUUAAAACUCCACCACACAAUUAUUAUUAUUUUAGAGUUUUAUUUUAUAUAUAAUUUAUUUUUCAUUAUUUUUAAUUUCUUCUACUGCUUCCUGUUAUAAGUAUAAAUUAGUACUAUGAUCAUAUUAUUUAGUAUUCUUCUAUUAUUAUUAACAUAAUUACAAAUAAUUAACAAUUCUGAAAAUGAAUAAUUAAUCAAUUAUAUAUUUUAUUGUUAACAUAUUAUUAUUUACGGUGGUGCUUGAAAGUUUGUGUUUCGAAUUUUAUACAUUUCCGCAUUAACCUAAAACAUCAGCAGAUUCCUAAAGGUAGAUAAAGAGAACCCAGUUAAACAAAUGAGACAAAAAUAUUAUACUUGGUCAUUUAUUUACUGAGGAAAUUGAUCCAGUAUUACAGAUCUGUGAGGGGUGAAAGUAUGUGCUCCUUUGCUUUCAGUAUGUGGUGUGACCCCUUGUGCAGUGAUAACUGCAGAUAAACGUUUGGGGUAAGUGUUGAUCAUCUGCACGUCGUCUCGGAGGAGUUUUAUCCCGUUCCUCAGUACAGAACAGCUUCAGCUCUGGGGUGUUGGUGGGUUUCCUCACAUGAACUGCUCGCUUCAGGUUCUUCCACAACAUCUCUACUGGAUUGAGGUCAGGGCUUUGACUCGGCCGUUCCAAAACAUUAACUUUAUUCUUCUUUAAGCGUUCUCUGGUAGAACGACUCGUGUUCUUAGGCUCAUUGUCUUGCUGCAUGACCCACUUUCUCUUCAGAUUCAGUUCACAGACAGAUGUCCUGACAUUUUCCUUUAAAUUUCACUGAUAUAAUUCAGAACUCAUUGUUCCAUCAGUGAUGCCGAGUCGUCGUGGACCUGAUUAGGCAAAAGAGGUCCAAACCCUGACACUACCACCACCAUGUUUCACCGAUGGGAGAAGGUUCUUAUGCUGGAAUGCAGCGUUUUCCUUUAUCCAAACAUAACACUUCUCAUUUAAACCAAAAAAUUAUAUUUUGGUCUCCUCCAUCCACAAAACAUUUUUCCAUUACACUUCUGGCUCGUCCACAUGAUCUUUAUCAAACUGCAGGAGGAGAGCAAUGUUCUUUUUGGAGAGCGGUGACUUCCACCUUGUAGUCCUGCCAUGCACACCAUUGUUCUUCAGUGUUCUCCUGAUGGUGGACUCAUGAACAUUAACAUUAGCCAGUGUGAGAGAGGACUUUAGUUGCUUGGAAGUUACCCUGGGUUCCUUUGUGACCUCGUGGACUAUUACACGUCUUGUUCUUGGAGUGAUCUUUGUUGGUCUCCACUCCUGGGGAGGUGAACAAUGGUGUUGAAUUUCCUCCAUUUAUACCCAAUAUGACUGUGGGUUGGUGGAGUCCAUACUCUUAAUAGAUUGUUUUGUAAACUUUUCCAGCCUGAUGAGCAUCAACAUCUCUUUAUCUGAGGUCCUCAGAAAUCUCCUUUGUUCAUGCCAUGAUGCACUUCUACAAACACAUGUUGUGAAGAUCAGACUCUGAUUAAUCGCUGUUCUUUAAAUAAAACAGGAUGCUCACUCACACCUAAUUAUACCAAUCAUUUCAUUGAUUGAAAACACCUGACUCUAAUUUCCAAACUUUCAAGCACCACUAUCUGAGAGUAUAUGAACAGGUAACUACAGAGAUGUUUUAUUUUUAUUUUUAAAUAGUUGUUUAUCUUUUGGUAAACACAUCUGAGGUGAUCAUGUGAUUUGGUUUUCAGAUUGGUUGACGGUAACAGCUUUAGUAGCCGGGGGUUGUGCGCUUGUUUUAGUGUCACUUCUGGUUCUGUGGAGGUGUUUCUCCAAAAGGAAAGGUAACAUUUCAUUUAAAUUAUAUACAGUAAAGUUUUAUUAUCUUCACUACUGAGCUAGAAUGCUAACCCACUAACCUGCUUGGCCUGUCCUUAUCUCUUGGAUCAUUUGUUUUGUUAGAUAUACUGCUCACUGUUUAUUUGACAUUAGUGAUUGUGCAAUUUUCUAGAACAACAGCUCUGACAGUAGAGUAGGUUUAUAUUAAUGCACUUUGUGCACAGCUUCACACAAACAAAUUAAAAAAUGUAUGUAAUUGUUGAUAUGGUGACAAGGAGAUGUUCAUGUAACAUGAAUGGAAGGAGUCUCCAGUGUCAGUGCUUUGCAACAGUCAGAGGUAAAGCUGUAAUUUUAAGUUUUCAGACAUCCUCAGGACAUCUUUUGUCUUAUUAACUUUAUACUUUAUAAAUGCUGAAGUUUAUCAUUUAUUCAUGCAGUAAACACUGUCAGUUAAAUGAAUCUUAAUGUCAUAUCACAGCAAACCAGUGAUUACAUUUCCCAUCCUGCACUGUGGCCUAAAAACGUGGCCGCCAUGGACUACACUCCCCCUCCCCACGUUCAUCUUCUCUGGAAUUCUAAUCACACACACCUGUUGCCAAUCUCACACUCACUCACUUCACGCUAUAAAAGAGACUUUUUGAACACCAUGACUUUGUGAAGUAUUGAGUGUUAUCACCAUACCAAGCGGUUGUUCCUUGUUUCUCAUUUUGCAUCAUGUUCAUUGACCUUGUUUCUCGUUUAUCGUUCUUGAUUCUUGAUUCUAGCCUUGCCCAGUUUAUAGGUUUGUAGAUCGCCUGACCCAUUGGCUCUUAUUUCGUUCACGCUAUUGUCUCAUGAUUUGGAUUUAUCUACCUGCCUCUCUCUAAUAAACUCUUACCUGCAUUUGCAUCCGUCCUAACCUUCAUUACGAGGAAUAUGUGACAGAAUACUUCGCCUAUAACAUGGAAGCAGCAGGAAAGAGGGGGAGACAUCACGCUAGGGAAACCAGGCAAACCGUCCCAACUGUGGAUUCGAUCCAGUUUCCUCAGUGGACUGUCGUAGACCUCCCAGAGCUGUAUGAUGGGUUAUCAGGUUACCCUGAAUAUUUUCUUGCAGUUCAAAAUCCUGGGUCAUCCUGGAGGAACUUUUCCAGGAGGCCUGCCUCAGAGAUAAACCUGACUUGCCGUUCACCACCUAUUGUGAGCAGGCAAACUGGGUGACCUCCUUCCCAAAGCUCCUGCCUAAGACCCACUAUGUGGUCUCACCUGCCGAGCUCCAGCCAGAGUUCAACGUGGUGACCUCAUCUCCAGAGUCCCAGUCGGAGGUCAAUGUGGCGACCUCCUCCCCAGAGCUCCAGCAUAAAGUCAAGUUCCUGUCCGAGGUCAAAGAGACGACCUCCCAAUCCAUGUUCAUGUACGAGGUCGAAGAGGCGAGUACUCAAGCCAGGUUUCUGUCCGAGGUCAAAGAGUCGACCUCUCAAGCCAAGUGCCUGUGCGAGUUUGAAGGGACGACCUCUCAAGCCAUGUUCCUGUCUGAGGUCGAAGAGACGGCCAACCCAAGCUCUGCUCACGCCAAGUUCCUGUCCCAUGUCAUGUCGAAGAGACGGCCAACCCAAGCUCUGCUCACGCCAAGUUCCUGUCCCACGUCGAAGAGACGGCCAACCCAAGCUCUGCUCACGCCAAGUUCCUGUCCCACGUCGAAGAGACGGCCAACCCAAGCUCUGCUCACGCCAAGUUCUUGUCCCAGGUCAAGGAGACGGCCAACCCAAGCUCUGCUUAUGACAAAUUCCUGCCCCAGGUCGAAGAGACGGCCAACCCAAGCUCUGCUCAUGCCAAGUUCCUGUCCCGACGUCAUGACCAACCUGGUUCUGCUCAUGCCUAAAACCAAUGUCACGGCCAACCAAGUUCUGCUCAUGCCCGAGUCUGCUGACAUGGCCAAGUUCUGCUCAUGCCUGAAGCGGACAUCACAACCAACCAAGUUAUGCUCAUGCUCGAGACUGAUGACCCCAGUUAUGCUCAUGCUCGAGACUGAUGACCCCAUGCUCGAGACUGAUGACCUCAUGUCUGCUCCUCAGUUCCUGGAGGAACCUGCUACUUGUCAGACAAUGCCUGCAUUGUAACCUGAGGUGAUGUGAAGACAUUUUGCCCAGAGGGCCAGGACCACUGGGGGAGGGAGUGUUAUUUUCCGCUUCGGGAGAAGCGCCCUGAGGUUGGGGAGGUGGGGGGGGGGUUCUGUCAUAUAACAGCAAACCAGUGAUUACAUUUCCCAUCCUGCACUGCGGCCUACAAACAUGGCCGCCAUGGACUACACUUCCCACACACACACACACACACACACACACAUGUUCACCUUCACAUGCCCGUCAUGGACUACACUCCCCCCCCCACAUUCACCACCUCCGGAAUUCUAAUCACACACACCUGUUGCCCAUCUCACACUCACUCACUUCACGCUAUAAAAGAAACUUUUUUAACACCAUGACUUUGUGAAGUAUUGAGUGUUAUCACCAUACCAAGCGGUUGUUCCUUGUUUCUCAUUUUGCAUCAUGUUCAUUGACCUUGUUUCUCGUUUAUUGUUCUUGAUUCUAGCCUUGCCCAGUUUAUGCCUGUUUGUAGAUCGCCUGACCCAUUACCUGUUAUUUCGACCACGCUAUUGUCUUAUGAUUUGGAUUUAUCUACCUGCCUCUCUCUAAUAAACUCUUACCUGCAUUUGCAUCCAUCCUAACCUUCAUUACGAGGAAUAUGUGACACUUAAUGUAAAACAUGUUAAUUUUUUUCAUAUGUAGUGUUGUUCCUCUGCAUUAAAGCCUGACAGAAUCCGCAACCCGUUUAACUCUUAUUAUUACCUCUUCAUUCAGGUAGCACCGCCAAAGUACAGCACGAUUCAGCUGAAAAAGAAUCUUUGGAUGAGAUACAUGUUUAUGAGUCAAUUUACGAGACUCCCUCAGCUCCUCAACCAGGUGAGUUUACUAUUAAUGUAAAGUUUAUUUAUUUAUGUGGCUUAGAAAUAUAAAUGACUCAGAAUGAGAACGUGAGCUUCAUAAACUAAUGUUGUUGUUUUUUUCAGAAUUGACAGGCUGCACACUUUAGGCAAACAGCUGAAACUAAAAACAGUCUAUAAGAGUCCAAAAUGUGCAGCAUGUAUGUGAAAUAAUACUUUAGAUUUCUUUUGUUACCAGAACAGAGCCUAAUGCUCAUUUAUGCAGCAUUUGAAGUAAAGGAGCAGAAUUACAGGAUUGCCUUCUCUAAGAAUGAUAAAAUAACUUCAGUAUAUCAGUUAGUAAUCAGAUGUUUCUCUGUAUUUCUCUGCCCUUAGCAGCUCCACAGCAGAUCCCAAAAGAUGGAUUUUACUAUCUGGCUACACAUCCAGGAAUCCAGAACAGGCAUUAAAACACACACACACACACACACACACACACACACACACACACACACACACACACACACACACACAAAUACACAACAUGUCAACAUGUGGAUCUUCCUUCAAAGAGUGUGAAGGUAAAGGCAGUUUCUGAAUAGAAGUGUGGGCUGUAGGAGUUGGGGGUGGGGUGGGACUACUGAUUGACUGAGUUGCUGUUGUCCAGAGAUGAUCGGCGUUGAUUUGUGAUUGUUGUUGUUUUAUAAUAAACAUCUGUACUUUUUACUUUCACUUUGUUCUAUAUCUAUGAACACAUGAAUAUGAUGAUUGUGAUGUCUGGGUUAGGGUUACUACUACUACUACCGGAAUUGUUGAGUUGACUGUUGAAUAAUUAUGGCUAAAUCAAUUAAACAACAGUUUGGAAUAUCUGAACUGUUGUGCACAUUAUUCUUUUCCUACUGUAUAUUUCAUAUGAGUAUUAAAAUAUAUGUUUUUUUGUUACAAUAGUCAAUUUCAUAAUGUCAACACUCACUAUACACUAUUUCAUUUAUGAGGCAAAAGGCAACCUGCAGUCAUACACCAAGUCCACAUAUUUCUAUCACAAAAUAUCGAGGCUUGAAUCCCUUGUAAAUCCCACCUUCCCAGCAUCUGAACUCUAACCUAGCUGAGACACGCUGCUCAAACUUUCUUAUCUAUCUGAUGCUACGUUCAUAGUCGCUGUACUAUGAAGUCGCCAGUAGGUGUUCCUGCUACCAGUUGUCAUAGUAACAUUUGUCAGUGGGUGGUGCGACUAACAUUCCACUUUUGACAAUUAAUCAGUUUUCUUGCUGCUAAAAUGGAACCUUCUGGAGGAAGAGGAUCUUAUAUAAAACUCACCAGUGUAUAUAUGCAUCACAUCCUAUGAGAUCGAGGAGAAGCAGUGUGUGCUCUUUGCCACUGAGGCCAUCUGUCUGUGGGAAAAGUGCAAUUAGCUUAGCUUAGCUUAGCUUAUGGCCUCCUCGGCCAUGGUCUCCGUGCUUCCUGGGUGAAGUGGCUGGCUUGGUGCUGCUUGUUCCCAGAGCCGGGCGUCUCAGCCUCAGGUCCUCGCUCCUUCUGGUAGCUUCUACUUAUCACGUGCACUCUCCUGUCUUCACUCCCAUUGGUAGUCUCUGCACCAAGUCACUCCACAUUUGCAUAAAGUCGCCUGCAUUUACCAGCUUUGUGACCAAAAUUUUAAAAAAUAAUUUAAUAAAACUAGCCACAGUAGGUUGAAGUUGGUUUGCAAAAAAAAAAAAGAAAAAAAAAGCUAACACUAAGCAACAUAAACAUAAUUUUAACAUUAACUUAGUUGACCUUACCUUAGGUGUGUUCAACUAGUACGAUGAGUUUUCACUCUUGCCUUGCUGCAACACGGUCCUUGCAGGAGCAGCACAUCUGAUGUAUCGUAUAUGAGGCCCAGCAAGGCCCAUGGAUGUGAGUCGCUGCCUGAUCUGAGUAGCGCACGCAUCUUGGACAACUAGGUACGGCAACACCACCUGGACCAACACGCAGAACUGCAGUAAACAUUUAUAGUUAUGAUUAUGAUCACAUUUGCUAAUGAUUAAUUCAGACGGCGUUGUGUGGUUUCAAUUCAAUUCAAAGCAUCAAACAAUUCGUUCAAAUAUCUGAACAAUACACAAUAACAGCAACAUUACGCAGACAAUGACAGACAAUCAUGCAACCGACAUUGACAAUUGUUGAAUUGAAUUUACAAUUCAUAUGUCGAUCUCCUGCACCUGUCUUCCACGUCCACAGAUGUCCAAAAAAACUCUUAGCAAGACGUGCAAAUCUACAUCUGAGAGGUGUCAUAAUCAGAUGUCCAGAGACUGAACCUGAUUUACACAUCUUGCAGACAUACAGAUAUGGUCCUGGACCAAGCGACGUAAUAUAGGCAUGAUCUACACAUCUGGCAGAUGUCUCAUGUUUGCUGGGAUACAGUAAAAAAAAAAAAAAUUAUAUAUGAAGUGCAUAGAAGUAAGCUGCAGCUCAGGAAGUGAUGUAAUUGUGUAUGUAGG
ensembl:lncRNA